GACGAACGCUGGCGGCGUGCUUAACACAUGCAAGUCGAACGGAAAGGCCUCUUUCGGGGGGUACUCGAGUGGCGAACGGGUGAGUAACACGUGAGUAACCUGCCCUUGACUUUGGGAUAACUUCAGGAAACUGGGGCUAAUACCGGAUAGGAGCUCCUGCUGCAUGGUGGGGGUUGGAGAGUUUCGGCGGUUGGGGAUGAACUCGCGGCUUAUCAGCUUGUUGGUGGGGUAGUGGCUUACCAAGGCUUUGACGGGUAGCCGGCCUGAGAGGGUGACCGGCCACAUUGGGACUGAGAUACGGCCCAGACUCCUACGGGAGGCAGCAGUGGGGAAUAUUGCACAAUGGGUGGAAGCCUGAUGCAGCAACGCCGUGUGCGGGAUGACGGCCUUCGGGUUGUAAACCGCUUUCGCUCAUGACGAAGCUUUGUGUGACGGUAGUGGGUAAAGAAGCACCGGCUAACUACGUG
rnacentral:rRNA from 1 species